GACGAACGCUGGCGGUGUGCUUAACACAUGCAAGUCGAACGGUAAGGCCCUUUCGGGGGUACACGAGUGGCGAACGGGUGAGUAACACGUGAGUAACCUGCCCUCAUCUCUGGGAUAACAGUCGGAAACGGUUGCUAAUACUGGAUAUGAGCCUGCAAGGCAUCUUGUGGGUUGGAAAGAUUUUUUGGUUGGGGAUGGACUCGCGGCCUAUCAGCUUGUUGGUGAGGUAGUGGCUCACCAAGGCUUCGACGGGUAGCCGGCCUGAGAGGGCGACCGGCCACAUUGGGACUGAGAUACGGCCCAAACUCCGACGGGAGGCAGCAGUGGGGAAUAUUGAACAAUGGACGGAAGUCUGAUGCAGCAACGCCGCGGGCGGGAGGACGGCCUUCGGGUUGUAAACCGCUUUCAAUUGUGACGAAGCUUUUUGUGACGGUAGCAGUAGAAGAAGCACCGGCUAACUACGUG
rnacentral:rRNA from 1 species